UGUGUGUGUGUGUGUGUGUGUGUGUGUGUGUGUGUCCUGGGGGCGGGGCUUAAAGCGACAUCACUCUGUCAGCUGACACAUCGGGUCAGAUGACGUCAUCUCGUUGUCUCUGUCAGGUAAUUUGCAGGUACAGGUGGAGCAGAUCAUACACGUGCUCUUUUUGUCCAGUGAUGCUGAAUGAUGACGUCACAAACCAGCACAGAUCUGAUUUGUAGUUUGUAGUUUGUAGUUUGUAGUGUUGAAGCUGAAGUCCUACAUCAAGCAAGUUUGAAGAUUCCAGCAGACUGGUCAGGUCACAGACGUUACAAAGUGUUGAUGUUGAUCAGUGUUUGAGUCUUUUUACGGAUUCUGGUCUCGGACUCUCGGACGGUAAAUCAUCCCGUCCUGGCUGAGCUCGUGCAGCUGCCGUGUGGGGAGGGAACAAAUCACUCAGACUACUCAUUACUCCCGAGUCAUAUAAAAGAUUUGUUCAAAUUGAACGAUACGUUCACGACCGACACACCACUAAUGUUGAUGAACAGAGUGGGAACAUGAACCAACCUUCACCCUCAGCCUCCUGGUCACCUUCUGGACCUUCUCUACCAAUCGGCCUUGCUCCUUCUGAACCCCCAGGCUGUCCUCCAGAAGUGUGGUGCUCUGUCCUUGAGAGUCUCUCCACCCACAGGUUUCCCUGUUCAGGUUGUCUGGAUUCUGUUCUGCAGUCCUUUGUCCGGUCUUUGUGCUGCUCCUGGUCCUCCUGCUCCUGCUCCUGCUUCUUGGACUCCUCCUUUCGUCUGUCAUUAAAGUUUCUGUCAUGUCACUUUUAUUUGACUUGUAGACAUAUGGUCAUUGCUGCUUUAUAUACAUUAUAUUUACAUAAUUAUCUACUUGUGUAUGUGAUAUGAUAAUAAACUACUAACCAUA